rnacentral:lncRNA from 1 species
CAGGUUGCUUUGCGCUUGGCGUGGCAUGUGGCCCACAACUUGUGCAAGCGCGAAAAACAAAUUCUUGCAUAUCCCAGUUGGGCUUUUUCCCCAGUUAAGUGUUGUGCUGAGCUAGAAAUAUGUUUGAGCCAGUUUUAGAUUUUUUGGACCUCAACACAACUUAUUCACGUGUUAACUCGGAGAUCAAAACUUUAAGUGAAGAAAAAGGAAAAAAGUACUAUGUUCUUUUACCAAC